CUCGGCCGCCCGGCUGCUCGGACCGGGCCCGUCCGCUCACCUGCUCUACCUGGAGAGUAGGGGUGAAGGGCGGCGUCUGCAAGACCGACAUUCCCCCCGUGCCCGGCCGCCACCGCAACGGGGGUACACGCCCGUCUCCCCUGAGACCUGGAGCCACGCGUGCCAUGGCCACGGGAGGACUUGCUUGACUUUAUUUCGCCCCAGGCGCCCUUUGAGCGUCAGGGUAGCCACCUGGACUGCCGUGGGCCAGAACAGGCUUAAAAAUGGGUCCCCGACUUCAGACAUCGAUCAUCCUCCUGAUCCACACUCCACGCUGCCUGGCUCCACACCGGAAGGCAGAAGAACGGUCGGACCUCUGAUCGUGAGACUUCGGUUGCCCUCCUCCCGCUGACUCAACCCAACCAGACAGCCAGCCACCCAAAGAUGGAUCCGCCGCUGCCCGCAGAGGGUGCCACUCUUCCCCGGGGCCCCGGUUAAGUCUGAGUCCACGGCACCAGGUACCUUGUGAUUAAUAAAGUGUGCUGUGUGAUUUGCAACUGCAUAUUCUUGUGUGGCGUAAUUCCUCUGCAGUCUUAACUAUAUUAAU